AAGAUUUCCAUGAGGAACUACUACUCCUAAAGCUGGCCUACAAUUUGAACAGAAAUGCGGAGAUGAUUACCAGCUUAUAUGCCUGAUCUCCAGCCUAUGUGCAGAUAUAUGAGAAUAAAUGGUAGCUGUUUUAUGUCAUGGUGUUAUGGGAUGGCUUGUUACACAGCAUUUUGGUGGCCAUUGCUAACUGAUACACAAAGUUUAUGAACGCUCUUACAAGUGAACUCUUGGAAAAUAACCCAUUGUAAUCCUCAGUUUUGGCAAGAGAUGACACCUGACAGAAAAUCCUCAGAUGGAGUCAGCACUGUAUUUUUUCCACCAUGUGUGAGCAUGGAAAGUAGUUGUCUGCACUCUUGUUUCAGCAACUGAUGGGCAUUCCUGCUUAGAAGAGGUGGUCAUUUUAUAUCAAUAGAGAUGACUGAAAAUACAGCAGAUCUGGUUUGCUUAAGGUAAAACUCACCCUUGAGCCCUGACCUUUGACCUCCUCCAGGUGGAUUUAUUUGGAGAUAUCCUCACUACCCGCAAUCCUUCACCUCUUUCCGCAAGAGCCUGCCAGGAAGAGAGAUAUGCAAAGUCCAUUUUGAGCUCUCAGCUCAGGAUUUACCUGCAAUUUGUCAUGGACAUCGGGCAAUUACUGGCACACAAAGCUGAAGGAGAAGGGCGAAAGGGGAGGCACAGCCUUUCCAGCAAGAUCAUCAUCUUUGCAUCAGUCACUCUUAGAGAUGUCUCUGCUUUGCAUUCACAGCUCAACUGCACAGAAAAGAGGUCUUUCAGCUUCUCCCUUGUUACCCAGAUGGUGAAGAAACUGGAAAAGAUGGGUAAUGGUAAACGUUGAAAGCACUUAGGGGCUGCAGGAGGUAUCCCCAGUAACUCUAUAAAGAAGGCCUGUCAUUCUCCAAGAUUCAAACCCUCAACACAAAAUACAUCAGAAGUACUGCAGUCCACUGAAAGGGGUUGAAAGUGCUCCUAAGCCUAUACACUGUGAUAUGAUCUACUUUGAAUACUGUAUUUGCAAACCUAAAGAAAGAACGCUUUGGUCAGAAAGGAGAGCUGUUCAGCCACGGAUGCAGGACAGAAAGAGGGUGUCAGAGGAAAGUGUUUGUGGAUCACACCAAACCUUAUCCCAGGGAAAGGGAGCUGACUUAAGUAAUUCUGGGCCUCUUGAAAGAUGCAUCUUGAAUACGCUGAUGGAAGCCAUUAACAGCACACGUCUGUAAUCAACAGAUUUCAAGGAUCCAGAUCCCUUGGGGAAGAACAUCCCAUCCUAUUCUGGCACCACUUAACACUUUCUCUUCUCUGACUUCAUUCAGUGCUCACGAACAGUCUCCAGAAUGUCCCUUGCUCCCCACAAACACUAGCUGACAGAAAGCAGAAGGGAAGAUGGCCCUGCCUUAGAAUACCCCUGAAAGUGUCUUUUUACUUAAUGCUCUUCUUGUGUUUGAACUGGCCUAGGAAGAGCUGGACUGUUCACCCUGUGCUGAGACCUAGACUGGGAGCUGAGGACUGUCCUGAG
rnacentral:lncRNA from 1 species